GACGAACGCUGGCGGCGUGCCUAAUACAUGCAAGUCGAGCGGACUGAUUAAGAGCUUGCUCUUAUGACGUUAGCGGCGGACGGGUGAGUAACACGUGGGCAACCUGCCCUGUAGAUCGGGAUAACACCGAGAAAUCGGUGCUAAUACCGGGUAAUAUCUGAGAUCACAUGAUCUUAGGUUAAAAGAUGGCUCCGGCUAUCACUACAGGAUGGGCCCGCGGCGCGUUAGCUAGUUGGUAAGGUAAUGGCUUACAAAGGCGACGAUGCGUAGCCGACCUGAGAGGGUGAGAGGCCACACUGGGACAGAGACACGGCCCCAACACCUCCGGGAGGGAGCAGGAGGGGAUCUUCCGCAAAGGACGAAAGUCUGACGGAGCAACGCCGCGUGAGUGAUGAAGGGUUUCGGCUCGUAAAGCUCUGUUGUUAGGGAAGAAACAGUAACGAACGAACUAGGUCGGUACCUUGACGGUACCUAGCCAGAAAGCCACGGCUAACUACGUG
rnacentral:rRNA from 1 species